CGCGUAACACGUAAGCAACCUGCCCCAAAGACCGGGACAACAGCUCGAAAGGGCUGCUAAUACCGGAUGUGGCCGUCGGGAGACAUCUCCUGACGAUUAAAUCGAGCAAUCGGCUUUGGGAGGGGCUUGCGGCCUAUCAGCUAGUUGGGGAGGUAACGGCUCACCAAGGCGACGACGGGUAGCCGGCCUGAAAGGGUGAUCGGCCACACUGGCACUGAGACACGGGCCAG
rnacentral:rRNA from 1 species